ACCUGCUGAACUUAAGCAUAUCAAUAAGCGGAGGAAAAGAAACUAACAAGGAUUCCCCUAGUAACUGCGAGUGAAGCGGGAAAAGCUCAAAUUUAAAAUCUGGUAGUCUUUGGCUGCCCGAGUUGUAAUCUAGAGAAGCGUUAUCCGCGCUGGACCGUGUAUAAGUCUCCUGGAAUGGAGCGUCAUAGAGGGUGAGAAUCCCGUCUUUAACACGGACUCCCAGGGCUUUGUGAUGCGCUCUCAAAGAGUCGAGUUGUUUGGGAAUGCAGCUCUAAAUGGGUGGUAAAUUCCAUCUAAAGCUAAAUAUUGGCGAGAGACCGAUAGCGAACAAGUACCGUGAGGGAAAGAUGAAAAGAACUUUGGAAAGAGAGUUAAACAGUACGUGAAAUUGUUGAAAGGGAAACGCUUGAAGUCAGUCGCGUUGAUCAGGGAUCAACCUUGCUUUUGCUUGGUGUACUUCCUGGUUAACGGGUCAGCAUCAAUUUUGACCAGUGGAAAAAGGUCAGGGGAAUGUGGCAUCUUCGGAUGUGUUAUAGCCUCUGGUCAUAUACAUUGGUUGGGAUUGAGGAACUCAGCACGCCGCAAGGCCGGGUUUUACCACGUUCGUGCUUAGGAUGCUGGCAUAAUGGCUUUAAUCGACCCGUCUUGAAACACGG
rnacentral:rRNA from 1 species